GGGGCGGGGAGGGGGGCAGCUCUCGCCUCUGCGGAUACACACUAGUGAAUUUCUACAACCGUUUUCUGGCUGUUUUCACUAGCAGUGGCGAAAGGGACAAAUGUUGAAAUCCGACUCGGAGAUCUGUGAAAUCCCCCGGUCAUAUGCGCCGAAUCCUUCACGUUAUUCUAGCGGCUUGUUUGCAUAAAGAGGACGGCAAUUCACAAUAGCUCACCAGCGUUACGCCAUGGGUAUUGGUUAGCUAGCGAGGCUGUUGUGUCUGAAUUGUUGGAGCUCGUGUAAGCAAUAAUAGCCCUUAUUGAUCUACGGAGCCUGGUGAAACAUGCUGAUCUGCACUCGAAUGGUGGCAAGGUCAUUGUUGCUCUGCUGUUAUUCUCGGAGUAUGUAUUCCCUGCAUUAUUUGGGAGACACCUUUUGCUUUGGCAGAUAACUAGCCUUGGCUGAAUGGCUGGACUGACUGGGCCUGUGCCUGUGCGUCUGCUGCUUUCUAGGCAGCCUGAUCAACCCAGUACUCAUCCCUUUCUCCUCCAGUUUGCCAACUAAAAUUACCCUUCAUCCCAAGCGUGUCAUUUCUAGGCUAUCUCGUCUAGCUUGUUGUUCAUAUAUCAGAUAAACAUGGCACACCAAUAUACUGUGUAUAUAUAUUUACACUAUAACGUUAUUAUUGGUCAGCCAUAUUUAUUACCAUCCCGAUAGGCACUUGGCUGUGAAUCCACGGUCUAUUUAUGUGCAUAGCUGUGUGACCGAUAUCACACGGAAAUGGACGAGCCUGGUUUAGCUCGCUAUUGUUAGAUUUGCGUUGUAUAUUCUAGACCAGCUAACGUAACGAAAUCGCACAAAUGAAUGGGUGUCUUGUUAUAAUACGGAUGCCUUCGAUGGAUACUCAUUUUGGCAGCAUAAACCGGGACAUGGCUUUGACCGCAGUAUUGUCACUAGCUAGCCUAGCUAAAUAAAUCACUGGUAAUGCCUAGACACGCAUGUGUGAGGGGGAAUACAACAGGAAACACGUCUUUAUUUUUUUUUUAAAUGUCAUUUUCAAAUGACUUAAUCAUGUUUAAAUGUACAGAGUUCCCCCUCUAGACCAUCUAUCAAGAUGACUGUCCAGGCAGGCUGCCAUUUGACUGGGUUCUUUGUACACCUCCGUCACUUCCGGUUUAUUAGCAGUUAAUUAUAGGGUUUGGACUUUUUUUCCGAGCUGAUUAUCUGAUUUGAUUUUUUUUGUUGCUUUUUUUUUUUUUUUUUUUUUUUUUUUUUUUUAUAAAAAAAUGCUUUUAAUAUAAAAAUGAGCAAAAAUAUUGAGAGGUCUCUUGUGUUUGUCGUAUCAAAGAAGAUCUUUCAAACCACUCAGC
ensembl:lncRNA